rnacentral:rRNA from 1 species
GAACGGAAAGGCCCUGCUUGCAGGGUGCUCGAGUGGCGAACGGGUGAGUAACACGUGGGUGAUCUGCCCUGCACUUCGGGAUAAGCUUGGGAAACUGGGUCUAAUACCGGAUAGGACUCCGAGAUGCAUGUCUUGGGGUGGAAAACGUUUAGUGGUGUGGGAUGGGCCCGCGGCCUAUCAGCUUGUUGGUGGGGUGAUGGCCUACCAAGGCGACGACGGGUAGCCGGCCUGAGAGGGUGUCCGGCCACACUGGGACUGAGAUACGGCCCAGACUCCUACGGGAGGCAGCAGUGGGGAAUAUUGCACAAUGGGCGCAAGCCUGAUGCAGCGACGCCGCGUGGGGGAUGACGGCCUUCGGGUUGUAAACCUCUUUCACCAUCGGCGAAGCCCAUAGCUUUUGUUGUGGGUGACGGUAGGUGGAGAAGAAGCACCGGCCAACUACGUGCCAGCAGCAGCGGUAAU